AUUGAACGCUGGCGGCAGGCCUAACACAUGCAAGUCGAGCGGAUGAAGGGAGCUUGCUCCUGGAUUCAGCGGCGGACGGGUGAGUAAUGCCUAGGAAUCUGCCUGGUAGUGGGGGAUAACGUCCGGAAACGGGCGCUAAUACCGCAUACGUCCUGAGGGAGAAAGUGGGGGAUCUUCGGACCUCACGCUAUCAGAUGAGCCUAGGUCGGAUUAGCUAGUUGGUGGGGUAAAGGCCUACCAAGGCGACGAUCCGUAACUGGUCUGAGAGGAUGAUCAGUCACACUGGAACUAGAACACGGUCCAGACUCCUACGGGAGGCAGCAGUGGGGAAUAUUGGACAAUGGGCGAAAGCCUGAUCCAGCCAUGCCGCGUGUGUGAAGAAGGUCUUCGGAUUGUAAAGCACUUUAAGUUGGGAGAAAGGGCAGUAAGUUAAUACCUUGCUGUUUUGACGUUACCAAAAGAAUAAGCACCGGCUAACUUCGU
rnacentral:rRNA from 1 species